AGGGGUAUAGCUCAGUUGGUAGAGCGUUGGUCUCCAAAACCAAGCGUCGUGGGUUCAAGUCCUGCUACCCCUGCCA
rnacentral:tRNA from 2 species